rnacentral:tRNA from 1 species
GGGGCCGUAGCUCAGCUGGGAGAGCGCCUGCUUUGCAAGCAGGAUGUCGUCGGUUCG